UACGUAGGGGGCAAGCGUUGUCCGGAUUUAUUGGGCGUAAAGAGCGUGUAGGCGGCUUGGCAAGUCUGCUGUGAAAACUCGAGGCUCAACCUCGAGCUGUCGGUGGAAACUGCUUGGCUAGAGUCCGGAAGAGGAGAGUGGAAUUCCUGGUGUAGCGGUGAAAUGCGCAGAUAUCAGGAGGAACACCGAUGGCGAAGGCAGGUCUCUGGGCUGUAACUGACGCUGAGGAGCGAAAGCAUGGGGAGCGAACAGG
rnacentral:rRNA from 1 species